ACAAGUUAGUAUCAUUAGUCAAGCUCUAAUCUUCGUUACAAGAUCAGGGAGUUGGUCCUUUGUUGAACGUGCUGGAGCGUUACUGAUGAUUGCUUUCCUCAUUGCACAACUGGUUGCCACUUUGAUUGCGGUUUACACAAAUUGGGGAAUUCGCAAAAGUUAUGGGUAUUGGAUGGGGAUGGGUUGCAGUUAUCUGGCUAUACAGUAUUAUAACAUACUUCCCAUUGGACAUUCUCCAGUUUGCCAUUCGAUACAUGGUGACUGGAAAGGUUUGGCUCAACUUGGUUAAGAACAAGAUAGCUUUCACAACGAAGAAAGAUUUCAACAAAGAAGAGAGGGAGGCUCAAUGGGCAGUUGCUCAGAGGACACUUCAAGGUUUGCAGCCAAAUGAAGUAUUACUAAUUCUGUGACUGGAGCUAAUCACCGACUGAAUGUUUUAUUUGUGAACAACAGGCUUAGGGAGCUGCACACACUCAAGGGGCAUGUGGAAUCAUUGAGCGCUGGUGAGAACGCUGGAGAGAUCACCGUAGAAUCGCUUUGGUAUACUUUUUUCUUGAGGAGACAGAUUGUGAAAAUUCCUAGUGAACGAAAGACGGAAAUCCUUAAGGUGUAAUUGGUGACCAAAUAAUGAAAUGGAAUAAUGUAUUCUUUACAAUUCCUAAUUUUUUUUUAUCAUUUACAAGAAAUUGUUUUUCUUUUGCAUUCAUUUUCAUUCUUUUUAUUCUAGAGGAAUAUAGAAGAAAUUUGUUCUCCGCUAAAAUUGAUAAGGAAACAUUUUUUUUUUCAUUCCUCUAAUAUUAUUUCUCUGUAUUUUUUCUCUACUCAUUCCUAAUGUUAUUGUAAUUGUCACCAGUUAGACCCAGUGUUUUUAGAUUUUUUAGUGAGAAAUUAAAAAAUAGAAAUAUCAUUUAUAUUGAGUAAUUCUUCCAAAAGAUACUAAAAUAAAAAAAUUUGACCAAAAGAUCACAAAAGUAGAGGAUGAUUAAAAUAGGUUUCAUCAAAAAGAUAAAAGAUUUUUUUUACCUUACCUUAUAGAUAUAUAAAUAUAAAUAAUUAUUUAAAUAAACAUUUUUUGUAUUUUCAAAAAAAUACGUUUUCAAUUCAAAAAAAAUUGAAACUUUUUUCCAAUUUUUUUUUUUAAAUCCAAAAUUUUGUUUUGAAACUAUUUUAAAAUUAUUAUUUUAAAUAUUAAUAUGUUCGCAAUCCGAAACUCCUUCAUUUCCAAAACUUCAUCCUCAAAUAUAAAUUCUAAGUCUAGAUUAAUCAUUUUAGUCAUUUUAAAUGGGAUAUAAAUGUCUUAUUUUCUUUUUAAUAGAAUAUUUUGGUCAUUUUGAUCCUUGUGUACUAUAUUUACUAGUCCUAAUAAUUUAUGAUAGAAAAAUUCAGUAUUGUUUUAAUGAGUUCACUUAAAUAUUUAAAGUUUAUAAGAUUAUGUUAUUUGUUAAUUACAGGGUUUAUUUCAUAUUUAUAAAAGUAAAAUAAAUUGCGACAAAGACAAUGAACUCAAAAUUAUUUUGGUUUUUAUAAAAGUAAAAUAUAUUGUGACAAAGACAAUGAACUCAAAGUUAAUAAAGAGACAAAUCAUUUUUCAAUAGGGAACCAAUUAGCUAAUUUUGGGAACUACAAGUGACGACAAAACAGACCAAAUGAGACCUUUAGAUAAGAAGCCACAUCCGAAUAAAACGCCACGUGGUAAAUCCUCGUCGAUUGCCGUCAUUUACAAAAGCAAAGAGGGACCCAGCUCUUACAAUAUCCAUAACACACCCUCGUGUCGGCCUACGAAUCAACCAAUUAUUUUUUUUUUGGUAAAAAAAUCAACCAAUUAUUCAAAAGAGAAAGGAAAAAAUAUUGCAAAAUAACCUCAUAAGUGAAGACAAAGACGAAAUACUAACUGGCCUUCAAAAUAUUUCGAAAUUUUAUGGCUGAAAAUACUUAAAUAUAAUAAAUGGUUCGAAGCUGUUUCCUUGGCUUGAAGUAAGGACUGGUUCUGUCCACAAAUGUGCAGCGAGUGUAACAGAUACAUUAGCAAGGAGUUUGGUUAUUGUCAUGGAUCAAUGAUUGGGUUGAAUCUGUCAUUUAUCUUAGGACUUGAGAAUUCAACUUAUUAUAAUUAGAUCAAUAUCCGUCAAAACUCUUCCAUCCAUUUUUUUUCAAAAGCUGUAAGAGAUAAUUGCGGCUGAGAUAACGACUAACUAGCUAAUGCUUUGAUAAUGAGAGUUCACUAAUAAAAAUAGCAACACUAGCGUACCAUAUUUCAUUUGCAUUUAUUAUAGACUUAAUAAGGGACUGAACUAUUGACUGAGAUUUUUGCCAUCUACAAUCAACUCAUGCAUAUUUUAAAAACUAAACAUGGGUUAUGACAAUACUAGUGUAAAUUAUUAAAACUGUAAAUCUUGGCCAAUGAUAUAAUCAUCGUUAUAUAUAGCGUCUACUUCUAGGGUACUUUAUCAAUGAUGUUGAACCGAAAUACCAGAUUUUAAUUUUAAAACAUAAUUUAUACUCCUGUUUGAAAUUAAUGUGUUUUUUGCUUUGCACACAUUAAACUAAAAUUGGUUAUAAAUACAUUAUCUUGUUUGAUAAGUUUUAACAAUUUAAAGUAGUAAUAAUUCAAUAAACAAAUAUUAUUCUUAAUUUUUAUAAAUUCUUUGUAAGAAUAAAAAUACAUAAUAAGUUAAGUCUAUAAUUUGAAAUAUAUAUAUAUAUUGGAAAAUAGAUGGAGUAUAUAGUAAACACGUUGACAAAUACACACAAAGUCUUACAGUUAUAACAUACAAUAUAAAAUCAAUUCUUAUGAAUUAUAACUUGAAUCAAAUGUUAAUAAAACUGAUGAUUGUUUAACUAAAAUUUUUUUAAACCUAUUCUAUUAGUAACCAACAUUUUUUUUGUAAAUUAAAACUCAAUCUGAGGUGCAUGGGUUGUUGAUUGGUUAGUGUUGUGGUUGAUGUAGGGAGCAAAAAGGUAUUUUAUAACCACAAAAUUCAACCAAUAAAUUUUUGCUUAAUUUCUUAAAUUCACAGCCUAAUUUUCCUUUUCUUUUUAUGAAUAUGGUAUGGGCAAUUCUCAUAAAUAUACAAUUUUCAAGUUUUGGUCAUAAAAAUAGACCACAAA